UGCCAGCAGCCGCGGUAACACGGGGGGCGCAAGCGUUAUUCGGAAUUAUUGGGCGUAAAGGGCGCGUAGGCGGUCUUGUCGGUCAGGUGUGAAAGCCCAGGGCUCAACCCUGGACGUGCAUUUGAAACAGCAAGACUUGAAUACUGGAGAGGAGAGAGGAAUUCCUGGUGUAGAGGUGAAAUUCGUAGAUAUCAGGAGGAACACCGAUGGCGAAGGCAGCUUUCUGGACAGAAACUGACGCUGAUGCGCGAAGGCGUGGGUAGCGAACAGGAUUAGAUA
rnacentral:rRNA from 1 species